AUUGAACGCUGGCGGCAGGCCUAACACAUGCAAGUCGAGCGGAUGAAGGGAGCUUGCUCCUGGAUUCAGCGGCGGACGGGUGAGUAAUGCCUAGGAAUCUGCCUGGUAGUGGGGGAUAACGUCCGGAAACGGGCGCUAAUACCGCAUACGUCCUGAGGGAGAAAGUGGGGGAUCUUCGGACCUCUCGCUAUCAGAUUAGCCUAGUUCGGAUUAGCUAGUUGGUGGGGUAAAGGCCUACCAAGGCGACGAUCCGUAACUGGUCUGAGAGGAUGAUCAGUCACACUGGAACUGAGACACGGACCAGACUCCUACGGGAGGCAGCAGUGGGGAAUAUUGGACAAUGGGCGAAAGCCUGAUCCAGCAAUGCCGCGUGUGUGAAGAAGGUCUUCGGAUUGUAAAGCACUUUAAGUUGGGAGGAAGGGCAGUAAGUUAAUACCUUGCUGUUUUGACGUUACCAACAGAAUAAGCACCGGCUAACUUCGUG
rnacentral:rRNA from 1 species